CCAUUAAACUAAAACCAACAAAAUAUUUAAAUAAAUUUAUUAAAAAUUCUUAUUUAAAUAAUUUAAAAGAAACUAACAGUAACAAACUCAAACUAAUCAACGAACUUAUAACAAAAACAAGAAAUUUAAAUAAACUAAAAAUAAUUGUAUAGAUAAAUCUACAAACCCUUAAAAUAAUAAAUUUAUAACAAAAUUUUGUUUGUGAGUUAAGCUUAAAGCCUUUAAAACAUAACAUUUUGAAAAAUUUCCUUAAAACAAGAGAACUUCAAAAAACAUUUAACUCCUUUUUCACUUAUACUACAAACAAAAAUUAUACGUAAUUUAACACAAAAAAAACAAGAACAAUAAAUAAUUAAAAAAAAGUAAAAAAUUUCAUUAAAAACUACAUAACUGACACACUAAUACCAACACGCCACGAAAGGGAAACAAAACCCAAAAAAAAAAGAACGAAAACAUCAUUGUCCAGUGCGUGCAUUAAAACAACAGCUACAUCUACAACAACAACAAUUGCAAGUUAUAUAACAAAACCAUUAAACUACACAAAUUAAACCCAAAUUGUAAAACAAAACAACAAAAUAAUUGUAUUAGUCUUUAAACGGACAAAAUGGACGAACUGCCAGAUUUAUCACACUUAACACCCCAUGAACGAAUGCAAAUUGAAAAUGUGCUCAGGCGUCAGAAACAAGAGGAGGAGCAGCAAAAUGAAAUUAUGCGGCGCAAACAGGAUGAGGUUAUAACAUUGGAAAUGCAAAUCAAACAACGUUCGGAGCAACAGAAAAAAGCUGGUGUUGAACUUGAUGCAACCUGUCACAUAUGCCUUAAGACGAAAUUUGCCGAUGGUGUUGGACACAUAUGUAACUACUGUAAUACAAGAUGCUGUGCUCGAUGUGGAGGCAAAGUGACACUACGCAGCAAUAAGGUCAUCUGGGUGUGCAUAUUGUGUCGUAAAAAACAAGAAUUAUUAUCAAAGACUGGUCAAUGGAUGAAUAAGGGAGCGGUACAACAAGAUGGUUUCAUAAGACGCAAUGAACCGGAUGGCAGUAGUGAUAUUUCGCAACAAGCUAUAGUAGAUCCACAUGAUACACUCGACAAACGACCAAAACUCGAACGAACGCGAAGUGCAGCGGAAAAGGAAAAUCUACCGCUGCAACGUUCGGGCAGUAUGCUAAAGCGACAAUAUUCACAACAGGAACAAACAACGAAUCAACGGAUGAUGGGAAACGAUGGCGGCAUGGAUAUGAUAAGUCCGGGUCAGCGACAACGUAUGCAGCCCAUGACACCGCAACAAAUGCAACAGCAACAACAGCAGGCACAAUAUAGAGGACAAACGUUGAGUGGGGGUGGAGGAGGCAGCUCAACAGCGUAUCACACCGAUGAAGAUCCUAGAUUAUAUCAGGGAGAAAUUGAUGGUUUAAUGAAACAGCAUCCCCAUUUAGCACAUCCCAGUCAAAGACAGCAGCAACAAUAUCAGUAUCAACAACAGCAACAACAACAACAGCAGGCACAUCAUCAACAAUAUGGUAGCAGUCAACAAACACAACAUUCUAUGCGCUCUCAACAACAACAACAUUUACCACCCAAUGCUACAUCUUCCUCUAUCUCCUCCUAUUCCCAACACCAACAACAACAAAGGCUUCCAGUAUCUCAGCAAUCACAUCAUCCCCAUCAUUUGCAGUCAUCCUCGGCGACUGCAUUACAUCAUCCACAAUCGCAGCAUGCCUAUGGUUCAGCACAAAUGUCAUCAUCCUCUGCCGCCGCUUUAAAUACUCAGUUGCCAACGCCGCCUUUAGCCGGCCCCAUGUCGGCUUCUGUCCCCUCCGCCAGUGCGUCUCAGGGCUAUCAGAAACCUCCACCCAUACAACGGAAUCUAACCAUUAGUGGUGGUCAUGCCAUGGAUCCCACUACCUACAAUGCACGUCGCCAUCUGACCACUAGCACCCAACAACAACAGUAUCCCAUACAACAACAAAGAAGUUUCAAUACCUACGAAGAUGAGCUACCAACGAAACAAAUGCUUUCACAGCUUCAGACAUCAGCUGUUAAUGCUGCGCAACAGGCGCAGCAGCAACAACAGCAACAUCAAUAUGAGUUUGAAGCAUCUUUGCGUGUGGAACCCUGGCGUCAGCAACGAAGUCUUAACGAACGUGAUCUUUUAAGUGUAAGCAAUUCAUAUGCCUCGGACUACCAUCGAUUGUCGUCUAGCAAUCGUUUGUAUUCAUCAGCAGAUCGUGAUCGUUACGAUUUGCAUCGUGAAAGACUGGAAAAAUAUCCUUUAACACGUACAGCACGAUUGGAUGUACAACAGCGUAAUACGUUUAAUCGCUCUAAUCACGAUCGGCAAACAGUGGGUCUAAGUACGAGCCUUGAAGGUGGUCGAGUUGUAGGAGGAGGUCUUAGUGGUGGUAGUGAGACAUUUUAUGGUGUUAGAAGAGCUCCACCCUUGGCUACUGCUGCCUCGAGAGGUGUGGCUGGCAGCAACUAUACGCACAACCAUAAACAGCCACAAAUAGUUAUUGGCGACACUGCACAUACAUUGGCUUCUAAAGCGUCAUCAAACGCCACAUCUAUAUAUGAACGUUAUAUAGGCGGUAGUGCAACUAUGGCAUCAUUAACGGGAUCAACAGCUGAAGGGGCCACCACACGUAGCUUAAGUCGUGAACGUAACUUGGUAGAUGGUUAUCUGGAUGAAUUUCCCAGUCCUGGCUCAACGCUGUCGAAUAAAGCUCAAGAUUCACGCCGCUUUACGGAACGUAGAAUAAAGAAAACGGUACGUUUUGAUGCACAUGACGAUGAAGAUCCAUUAGUGCCAGGCCUAACGUCUCUACCGCCGGUCACCACCAUUUUACCUUCGACGGCGGUAGAUGUGGGCGUGGCCACAAUAUUGACCAGCGCCAAAUUGGGCGCCACUAACACUGCCACUAAUAAUAGUAGUUUAAGUGAUAAUGCCAAUAACUGGUCCCGCCAGUGGGACAGUGAGCGUCAGGGAAGUCAAGAUUCUGCAACCAAGGAUUCGGGUAUUGAUACCAGCAGUACCUUUACCAGUAGUGAAGAUUCCAAUCGUGGUGACGGCCUUAAGAUUGAUUUGCAAGAGCGUCGUUCAAGACGUGAUAUGUCACCUCAGGGCCGUAAAAGAGUGGCCGGCAUGGUAGCUCGUGAUUAUCGUACAGUUUCGGGCAUUGGACAAAGUUAUCACAAUCAGGCUCCUGGCGCACAAAGUGGUUACUUUCGUCGUAAUGGUACUACCACCACUGGUCCUGGUGGCAUGAGUCUUAGCCAACGUAGUCAUUCAGCUGCUCCAAGUGAUGCCUAUCAUAGCGGUUACUAUCGCAGUUCCAGUCCAAGACGUGGCUCAUUGUCACCGCCUGAGUAUAGAGGUCACGAUAUAGGCAGCAUACCACCUUAUAGUGGUGCCACCUCGAUAAUCACACCGUACGAUAGUGGGGUGGGAUCGUCGUCAUCACAGCAGCAACGUUUUCAAUCGCGCUCAGCGACUGCCACGCCGACUGGUUCGCCCAAAAAGAGACAACUGCCAAAGGUCCCCCAAACAUCACGCAGCGCUAUGAUACGUGAUCGCUUGGGUCAGGAGUUCGAUGAUCGUUUAACGUCUGGUAACGGUGGUGGUGGCCGUUUCGGACGACAUCGCACACGUCAGCCACAUCAUCAGCCAUUGUAUCGUAGUACCGGUGGCGGUGGCUGGGAACGUCAUUACACCGGUGCUUCGGACAGUGAUCUGCACUCGAUGGAAACUCGUAUGCGACCACGACAUUCCCUAUCGCCCGACAAAGAUUUUAUGGGCGAAUUCGGUGAUUCCGAUAUGGAGUCAGUUGUUAGUGUAACAUCAAGUUCUUUCUCCACACAAUCCGAAAGGCCACGAGGGUCAAGAGGUCUCAGUGAAUAUGUUGAUACAAAAGCUGAAGGCGGUGAUAAAAAGGAUGAUCCCAAUCAAAUACAGAGUGCUGAUGAAAAAGUCGAUGGCAGUUUAUCAGACACUGCCCAGGAUCGUAAAAAAGGUACUUUGGACCAAGAACGUUCGCCCAAAAGCGGUAGUGGCAUGGGUAAAAAAUCCAACUCCACCUCCCAACUAUCAGCAACAGGUCGUAAAAGACGUAUGGGCUUUGGAAAAAAGGGUAAAAGCUCAUUUACGGUGAAUCGCAGUGAAGAAGUAUUGCCAGGUGAGAUACGAGGGGUUCUAUCGCGUGGCUCUUCAUCUGAAGCCGAUGGUGGCGAAGGCUUAGUUGAUCCUGGAGCCGGUAGUGGUGGGGACAGAUAUUCACCCACCAUUAGAGCCGAUGAACAAAUUAAUCAAUUUGUAGAGGGCUUGGGACCGGGACAAUUAGUUGGUCGCCAAGUAUUGGGGGCUCCUUCUUUGGGUGAUAUACAAUUGUCACUGUGCUGUCAGAAAAACUGUCUAGAAGUGGAGGUUAUAAGAGCUAGAGGUUUACAGCAAAAACCCACAUCCAAAAUGUUACCGGCUCCUUAUGUUAAAGUUUAUUUGGUUUCGGGCAAAAAAUGUAUAGAUAAAAUGAAGACAUCAACUGCUCGUCGUACUUUGGAACCAUUGUAUCAGCAGCAAUUGGUUUUUCAGCACUGCAAUACUAAAGGCUGUGUUUUACAAGUUACCGUUUGGGGUGAUUAUGGCCGCAUUGAAAAGAAAGUUUUUAUGGGCGUGGCUCAAAUAAUGCUGGAUCAGAUAGAUCUAUCGAAUGGCAUUGUAAUUGGCUGGUAUAAACUAUUCGGCACCACAUCACUGGGUCGUCCUAUUGUUUGGGCUGGCGAUACAAUAAUGGAAGAAGAUUGUGAAUAAUAUCUAAUAAUUGAAAAUAAUUGAAAAUCAAAUGAAUUUCGUACUUUAAUCACACAACACUUUAAGUAAGUAACAGGUACUUAACAAACAACUAGACUAAACGAGGUUGUGAUGUAACAAAAAAAAUGCAGCCCUCAAGAAUAAAUAACGGCCAAACGAAAUCUACACUAAACAUAAAAACACACGUUAACACCGUUUCACAAAAAUAUUAUAAACAUUUAUGAAAAGUAUCAGGAAUUGAUAACGCGAAAUGAUAACCUUUACAAAGGGCUGCCACAUUAGCAGCCAAUUAGUUAAAAACCAAAAGUAACGAAAAAAUACCAGAAGGAAACACAGAUACUCAAGAGU
rnacentral:misc_RNA from 1 species